rnacentral:rRNA from 1 species
AGGAUAAACGCUGGCGGCGUGCCUAACACAUGCAAGUCGAACGUCUCUUCUUUCGGGAAGAGGAGUGGCGGACGGGUGAGGAACACGUGGGAACCUGCCCUUUAGUGAGGAAUACCGGCGAGAAAUCGCCGACAAGACCGCAUAGCCCUCUUUGAUGAGAGUCAAAGAAGGAAAGCUUCGCAAGAGGCGCUAGAGGAGGGGCCUGCGUCCGAUUAGCUAGUUGGUGGGGUAAGAGCCUACCAAGGCGUCGAUCGGUAGCUGGUCUGAGAGGACGAUCAGCCACACUGGGAUUGAGAACGGCCCAGACUCCUACGGGGGCAGCAGUGAGGAAUUUUCCGCAAUGGAGGCAACUCUGACGGAGCAACGCCGCGUGCAGGAGGAAGGUUUUCGGAUCGUAAACUGUCUUUUCGUCGGGGACGAGCGAAGGACGGUACCCGAGGAAGAACGCCCGGCUAACUACGCGCCAGCAGCCGC